rnacentral:ncRNA from 1 species
ACGAUAAUGGCAAACUUGUCGAAAGGCAAGGACGCAAAGCUAUAGGACCUUCUUGACGCUAUGUCAAUGGUAGCCUGGCCACCGA